UACGUAGGGGGCAAGCGUUGUCCGGAUUUACUGGGCGUAAAGAGCGCGCAGGCGGUCGAUCAAGUCGAGUGUGAAAGCCCCCCGGCUCAACUGGGGAGGGUCAUUCGAUACUGAUCGACUCGAAGGCAGGAGAGGGUAGUGGAAUUCCCGGUGUAGUGGUGAAAUGCGUAGAUAUCGGGGAGGAACACCAGUGGCGAAGGCGACUACCUGGCCUGUUCUUGACGCUGAGGCGCGAAAGCUAGGGGAGCAAACGGG
rnacentral:rRNA from 1 species